rnacentral:rRNA from 1 species
UACGAAGGGGGCUAGCGUUGUUCGGAAUUACUGGGCGUAAAGGGCGCGUAGGCGGUACUUCAAGUCAGGCGUGAAAGCCCCGGGCUCAACCUGGGAACCGCGCUUGAGACUGGAGAACUAGAGUUCGGGAGAGGAUGGUGGAAUUCCCAGUGUAGAGGUGAAAUCGUAGAUAUUGGGAAGAACACCGAUGGCGAAGGCAGCCAUCUGGACCGACACUGACGCUGAGGCGCGAAAGCGUGGGGAGCAAACAGGAUUGAG